AGGUGGCAAGCGUUGUUCGGAAUUACUGGGCGUAAAGGGCGCGUAGGCGGCCAUCUAAGUCAGACGUGAAAUCCCCCGGCUUAACCUGGGAACUGCGUCUGAUACUGGACGGCUUGAGUUUGGGAGAGGGAUGCAGAAUUCCAGGUGUAGCGGUGAAAUGCGUAGAUAUCUGGAGGAAUACCGGUGGCGAAGGCGGCAUCCUGGACCAACACUGACGCUGAUGCGCGAAAGCUAGGGGAGCAAACGGG
rnacentral:rRNA from 1 species